UCGACCAGAGGAAGAGAGGAAGAAGCGCCCAUUCUUCUUCAGUUCUUCCCCUCCUUCCAAAUUAGUAUACUCGUCGUUGUCGGACCACCCUCCAACGAGGUAAGAUUGCCACCAACCCAUUCUUCUUCGGUUCUUCCCCUCCUUCAAAAUCAACCGCACAUUCUUUGAUUCGAGAUCUGAAAUCUUCUCUGAUGCAGGAUCUUUUUCUUCCCUUCUUCCUCCUCCUCUCCUUCUUCCUUCUUCCUUUUUUCUUUUAACUCACUACAAUAUGAUUUUUAUUUUUUGUAGAUCCGCCCCUACUCUAAUUUGGGAUUGAUCUGUUUUUCACUACUGCCAUUAAUGAGUUAUUCCCUAGAAUAUGAUCUAUUUUUGCAGAUCUGCCUCUAUGUUCGAUUAUUUUUGCUACCCCAUGACAUGAAGAUUCUGGCUUGAAUACAUUAUAAUAACAAGUUGGUUGAGUUUCCUUCUUUUGGUUUCCAUGUUCACUUAAUAUGAUGAUCAUGCUAUGUAGCUAGAUGGCCAAAUCUCUUCUGAUUGCAAAACCAGGAAGGUUUCUUAUAUGAGCUUGCAUGAUGGGAACCACACAUUUGAGGUUUGCAUCAAUGGAUCUCAAGGAGUCGAUUGUGCUAGCUAUAACUGGACUGUUGAUAAAAUCCCGCCUACCGCAUAUGUUCUGCUUCAAAAUCUUUUACAAAUGCACUAAAUGUGUCCAUAGAUAUUUUUUUUAGUGGACCCUACACUGGUGGCAGUGGUUUUGGGUGCUCAUCUGUGAACAGUUGCAAUCUGCUUGUUUUUGGCGCUGGGCAAGUUAUACCAUCCACCCAGAGGAUUGUUCAGCCUUACCUCAAAUAUUCUCUUCUUGUGGGGUUAUCAUCCAGUGUAUAGUAUGGACGAGUGAUAGUGGUAAUGGAUAAAGAUUUCUGCACAGAUAGUGCUGGAAACAAGUUUACGAGAAGUUCAAAUUCGAGUUCUGUUGUACACUUUGGUUCUAAUUCUCUACCAACAUGAUCUGACAUAGGGCAUGUCCCGUCUUUCGCAAUCUAGCAAUUUGGAGCAGCAUAUGGAUCGUUUGUUGGCUUUUUAAAGUUUUCUCCGUGUGUUUUUUGCUAAAGGUCAAGAAUCUCAAGCCCGUGAGUAGUUGAGUUCUAAGGAAAACUCAGCAUUUAAGACCUAGGCAUCUUCUUUGGGCCUUAGCACAGGGAGUGAAUUAGAGACUGAUAGUGAUUUCUCUAACAGCUCCGUUGACAGUCUGGGUUGCUUCACUAGUAGCAGAAGGUCUAAGGCAGUUGCGGAUCUCUAUGGAGAUGUAGUGGUCAAACCCUCUGUUAGGGGGUCACGUAGCACACGUGGAAGGGGCAAAAGAGGAAGGAGGGGAAGAGGUUGCGUGUUUUUUAUUGUUUUUUUCUUAUUUUUGGCCUUUUUAUCCUAACUCAUGGGAUGGUUUUUUGUUUUGUGGUGCCUUUGCCUUGAGGAUUUUGGUCCCAUUGGAUUGGUUUUGGCCUUUUUAGGCUUGGGCGUUUUGUUGGUUACCCUUCUUCUAUGCAAGGGUAGUUUAAAAUUCAGCCUCUU